UACAUAUUCCAUCUGUCCGGAAAUACUUGUUAUAGAAGUGAACAAAAAUGAAUGUAUCUAAAAUUAAAAUAUGUCUAGAUACAUCUAUUUUUUCGGCAAGUAUUUCCGAACGGAAGGAGUAUUUA
rfam:Triticum aestivum genome assembly, contig: Triticum_aestivum_CS42_TGACv1_scaffold_375188_5AL